rnacentral:rRNA from 1 species
CGGCGUGCCUAAUACAUGCAAGUCGAACGGUCUUUCUAUGGAAGCUUGCUUCCACUGAGAAGAUAGUGGCGAACGGGUGAGUAACACGUGGGUAACCUGCCCAUAAGAGGGGGGAUAACAUCCGGAAACGGGUGCUAAUACCGCAUAGUUUUCUUGAUCGCAUGAUUGAGAAAGGAAAGACGGCCUUUGUGCUGUCGCUUAUGGAUGGACCCGCGGCGUAUUAGUUAGUUGGUGAGGUAAUGGCUCACCAAGACGAUGAUACGUAGCCGACCUGAGAGGGUGAUCGGCCACAUUGGGACUGAGACACGGCCCAAACUCCUACGGGAGGCAGCAGUAGGGAAUCUUCCGCAAUGGACGAAAGUCUGACGGAGCAACGCCGCGUGAGUGAAGAAAAGGUUUUCGGAUCGUAAAACUCUGUUGUCAGAGAAGAACAAGUUGGAGAGUAACUGCUCCAGCCUUGACGGUAUCUGACCAGAAAGCCACGGCUAACUACGUGCCAGCAGCCGC